GCAAAUUUUGGCCGACAUCACAGGACUUUCUGCUACUGGCGAGGCAUAUUUUCUAGAUUCUUUUGGAGAUCGCAAAGGCCCUCUGCAGUUGUAUUCCCAAUGUUUCCUGGAACUAGGUGAAAUGAUACAGGCUAGUCCUAGGCAAGGUACUUUGAGGGAUUCAUUAAAUGAGCACUGACCAGAUGUAGCUAAACUGCUUUACAAUAUGUGACGAGAGAAGGAAGGGCACUUCAUGAUCGAAAAGGAGGUUGUGGAAGCUUCUUCUCCAACGUGGCUGGUAUUAUUGUGAAAGAUUUUGGAUUAUUGUUAUCCCCUCUUUAGUACAUAGCAGAGUUCCCAGAUUCGUCGUGAGUUAGGCGAGUUCGCUGAGUUGGCGAGUCGAGCUAAGCUAGGUGAGUUUUGCCAUAUUUUUUUUUAUAAUUUCUUUUUCAUUUAACCCUAAAAGGUCUUCUAAUUGCUAGUUGUGAGAAAAAGAGAUGAAAAGUGAGAGAGAGGAAGGAAAACAAGAGGCCAUAGGUUUGCAACCAGCAGGGAAGAAGAGCAUCAAGGAGACCACAAAUCACAUUUGGGAGGCCAUAGGCUUGCAUUGAGAGCAUCAAGGAGUCCAUACCAAGACUUCUCAACUCAUUUGAAAGAGCAACCUUCACGUUUAAAAAACAUUCAUUUUGACCAAUGACUAAAAAGGAUGAGGCUUGGAAAUAUACUGAAGACUUUAUUGGUAGACAAAAAAAUCAAACAAAAUGUUUUUUUUGUAAAGAAAGUAAUUUUGAUGGCACCAAUAGAUUUAAAUACCAUAUUGUCGGCAUACCUGGCCAUGAUAUUGAGCUAUGUAAAAAACAAACUGCUGAGGCAAAACGUUUCUGUUACGUCUAAUUAGAAAUACAUGAACACGAAAAAUUAACUAAGAAGAGGCAAUUGGAAGAGUUAAGUGCUAUUGGCUCCCAUGCACCUACAUUCGCAUUUGCAUCCACAUCCACAUCCGCAGGUUGUGUUGUAGAGGGUUCUUCCAUGCCUCCCUUUCGUCCUAGUGCUUCUGCUAGUGCUAGUGCUAGUGCUUCUACUUCUACUCCUCCUAGUGGCACUAUUACCUUUGGCCCUAGAGUUCGGAAAUCUAGGUUGGAUAGUUAUUUUGUGCCACAUAGUUCUCCUAGGGCACAACCCUCGCUUGACAACAUGGGUCGGAACAAGAAGGUUCAUGAUGCUGCAAGAAAACAAAUUUGCAAGUUUUGGUACUUUUGCAACAUUCCAUUUAUUGCAGCCAGGUAAUUCUUUUUGAUUUGAUUGCUUUAAGUUUAAAAGUAAAUUUAUAGUUUGAAGUUGAACUCUACUUUGUCUAAUCAUAAUCUAUUUGUGACAGGUCUCCUUAUUGGCAAGGCAUGGUACAUGCCAUAACCAUUUGUGGUGCGGGGUUUAAAGCGCCUACUGAUGGAGCCAAAAGGGUUGCACCAUCAUGACAAAUGGUUGGACGGAUAGUAGGAAUAGAACACUCCUAAAUUUUCUUGUUUCCUGCGGAGGUGAUUGAUCAUGAUUCAUUCUAAUUUGUACUUCCCUAAAUGCAUUGAAUAAAUCAAAUUUUGAUUUGUUGAAACUCCAUUUUCAAGAUCCACCAUGUAAUUCAAGUCUAUUGAUGCUUCCUCACAUGUGAAAAAUGCCACAUACUUAUGUGAGGCUAUUGAGGAAGUCAUACAAGAGGUGGGGGAAGAAAAUGUGGUGCAGGUGGUGAUAGAUAAUGCAACAAGUUAUGUUGCCGUAGGUAAACUUUUGAUGGAGAGGUACCCGAAUUUUUUUUGGUCUCCAUGUGUGGCCCAUUGCCUUGACCUCAUGUUGGAGGAUAUCGGUAACCUUGAAUGGGUGAAAUCAACAGUUGAAAGGGCCAAAAAUAUCAGCAAGUUUAUCUACAAUCAUGCAUUGGUCCUUAGCAUUAUGAGACAAUACACGGGGCAAAAGGAGUUGGCUCGUCUUGGUAUCACGAUGUUUGCCUCAAACUUCCUCACAAUGAAAUCCUUGAUGAAAUCAAAGGCGGCUUUGAGGCGUAUGUUUGUUGGUGAGGAGUGGACUUCCUCAUCCUAUGCUACGACCACUGCAAGGUUAGAUGUGGUAAAUUGCAUUUUUGAUGAGCCAGGUUUUUCGACCCCCUGUAGAGAAAUCGUGCAGGUCACUGAGCCCCUAGUAGUUCUCCUAUGAGUUGUUGAUGGGGAGAAGCCCUCUAUGGACUAUAUAUAUGAGAGUAUGGAUAGGGCCAAGGAGGCCAUUAGGUCCAUAUAUGCAGGAGAUGAGAAUAACUAUGGCCCCAUUUGGGAGAUUAUUGAUAGGAGAUGGCAGAACCAGCUUCACAGGCCCAUCCAUGCAGCAACCUAUUACCUCAAUCCGGCAUUUCGAUCCGGCGAUGACUUCAAGGCGGAUGCGGAGGUUCUUAGUGGCCUAUAUACAAUGGUACAAAAGUUGUCUACUGCUGGCACAACCUCAAGUACAACGCUAUAGCUGGAUAAAUAUAAUAAUCGAGAAGGGGCAAUCUUUGCAAGCAGCAUGUGCAUAGAGGCUCGAACACAAUUGCAGCCAGAUAGAUGGUGGCAAACGUUUGGGCCCUCAACCCCAAACCUUCAAAAAAUUGCCAUCCAUAUUUUGAGUCAGCCAUGCAGCACUUCUAGAUGUGAGCGCAAUUGGUCCAUGUUCGAGCACAUCCACUCGAAAAGGCGUAAUAGAUUGUUUGUGGAGAGGUUGAAUGAUCUUGUUUUUGUUCAUUACAACCUUCGUCUUAGGACCAGUCAAAUUUUGGACACUGAAUCCUCUCCGAUCAGUUUAGCGGAGAUCGAUCCAAAGUUUGAGUGGAUCACUGAGUCUAUCGAUCCAGUCUUCUCUGAGGAGGACCAUGAGUGGGUUGACCAGGCAGACAGAGAGUCUGAGGCUGUGGCUAUGGCAGAGGAGGAGGAUAGAGCAUGAUCCGACACAGGCACAACUGACGUUGAUCAUUGUGGCACCUCACAGGCGGAGACUAUGGCUACUUAGUCAUCCAAGACCUACCUUAGAAACAUUUGUAGGAGGCAGACAGACUACUCUGAGGCUCAGG